rnacentral:rRNA from 1 species
GGCCUAACACAUGCAAGUCGAGCGGUCGUAGCAAUACGGCAGCGGCAGACGGGAGAGUAACACGUGGGAACGCGCCCUUCGGUUCGGGAUAACCCAGGGAAACUUGGGCUAAUACCGGAUACGCCCUUACGGGGAAAGAUUUAUUGCCGAAGGAACGGCCCGCGUCCGAUUAGCUAGUUGGUGAGGUAACGGCUCACCAAGGCGACGAUCGGUAGCUGGUCUGAGAGGAUGACCAGCCUCACUGGGACUGAGACACGGCCCAGACUCCUACGGGAGGCAGCAGUGGGGAAUAUUGGACAAUGGGCGCAAGCCUGAUCCAGCCAUGCCGCGUGGGUGUUUUAGCCCUAGGGUUGUAAAGCCC